CCGCUGCCUACGGCUACGGCGCGCUGCGAGGACACCGGCGUGUAAAAAUGAACACAUGCGGAGGAGCCCGUACUGGCCAUUAUACCGGCUCCACGUGUGUCCCAACACACCACGCCUCACAGCGCUCACCCGCUAGACAGCCCCGCGUUCCCGCGACAGUGCCCUCAACACACAAACGUUCUUCUGUGCUUGGAAAUUUGCACCACCUCCGCCUGAUCAAGACACUAUGCAGCCACCUGUGAUGAUGGAAUGAAGGCUGUUGUCUCAGCUAUCCAGGAGACCGAGUUCAUCGAAUCCUGUCACAUGAACCCUGGAAACAAAGAUUAAUGAAUUACAAACAUUUGUUAGGUAGAGUGCUCAGUGGCAACUGGGUGGUCUUUUGACCUUGGAACCCCUGCAGAUUUUUUUUUUAUCUAGCCUAACUGGAGGUUUUUUACCCUUUUUCCCCUGUUCUCCCAGCCAUCUGAACUUAUCAUUGGACUCCUCCUUAGAGACCUUACAUCAUGACAGUGCAUAUAAGGAUGCUACUCUUCUACUUGAAGUUUA